AGAGUUUGAUCCUGGCUCAGGACGAACGCUGGCGGCAUGCCUAAUACAUGCAAGUCGAACGCUGAAGCACUCUGCUUGCAGAGUGCGGAUGAGUGGCGAACGGGUGAGUAACACGUGGGAAAUCUGCCUAUAAGUGGGGGAUAACAUUCGGAAACGGAUGCUAAUACCGCAUAUAUUCUCGAACCGCAUGGUUCUUGAAAGAAAGACGGCUUUGCUGUCGCUUAUAGAUGAUCCCGCGGCGUAUUAGUUAGUUGGUGGGGUAAAGGCCUACCAAGACAAUGAUACGUAGCCGACCUGAGAGGGUGAUCGGCCACACUGGGACUGAGACACGGCCCAGACUCCUACGGGAGGCAGCAGUAGGGAAUCUUCCACAAUGGGCGAAAGCCUGAUGGAGCAAUGCCGCGUGAAUGAAGAAGGUCUUCGGAUCGUAAAGUUCUGUUAUUAGAGAAGAACAAGUCAAGGAGUAACUGCCUUGACUUUGACGGUACCUAACCAGAAAGUCACGGCUAACUACGUGCCAGCAGCCGCGGUAAUACGUAGGCGACGAGCGUUGUCCGGAAUUAUUGGGCGUAAAGGGAGCGCAGGCGGUUGGAAUAGUCUGAUGUGAAAGCCCACGGCUUAACCGUGGAAGGUCAUUGGAAACUGUCCAACUUGAAUGCAGAAGAGGUAAGUGGAAUUCCAUGUGUAGCGGUGAAAUGCGUAGAUAUAUGGAGGAACACCAGUGGCGAAGGCGACUUACUGGUCUGUAAUUGACGCUGAGGCUCGAAAGCGUGGGUAGCGAAC
rnacentral:rRNA from 1 species